GAGUUUGAUCAUGGCUCAGAUUGAACGCUGGCGGCAUGCCUUACACACGCAAGUCGAACGGCAGCACGGGUGCUUGCACCUGGUGGCGAGUGGCGAACGGGUGAGUAAUACAUCGGAACGUACCUUAUCGUGGGGGAUGACGCAGCGAAAGUUGCGCUAAUACCGCAUACGCCCUGAGGGGGAAAGCGGGGGACCGUAAGGCCUCGCGCGAUUAGAGCGGCCGAUGUCUGAUUAGCUUGUUGGUGGGGUAAAAGCUCACCAAGGCGAUGAUCAGUAGCUGGUCUGAGAGGACGAUCAGCCACACUGGGACUGAGACACGGCCCAGACUCCUACGGGAGGCAGCAGUGGGGAAUUUUGGACAAUGGGGGCAACCCUGAUCCAGCAAUGCCGCGUGAGUGAAGAAGGCCUUCGGGUUGUAAAGCUCUUUUGUCAGGGAAGAAACAGCAGCUCUAACACAGUCUGCGAAUGACGGUACCUGAAGAAUAAGCACCGGCUAACUACGUGCCAGCAGCCGCGGUAAUACGUAGGGUGCGAGCGUUAAUCGGAAUUACUGGGC
rnacentral:rRNA from 1 species